AUUAUGAGUUUUCAAUUGUUGAAUUUAAAUCUUGCCUUUUAUUGAACAAUGAAACUAGAUCGUUACUCGUGCCAUAUCAUCACACAUGACUAGUGCACAGGUUGAAUGACGUGCAAGGUUGAAGGUUCACGAGUCUGCGAAUUCCUUGGACCAGCAGAUAUGGUGAAAUCUCUCACAAAUUUAUAUCGGUCUAAGAGAGGCAACUGUGUUCUGUAGACUUAUGCUAUCUCCCUUGGUUAAUGAAUCUAUCAGCUGUUGAGACAAGGGAAGAAAACUUUCGAGAUUUCAAGUUUCAAAGGAAAUUAUUUCCCUUGGUCUGUUGUCCCGGUCGCUUGACGACGAAAGGCCCCCUCACACCAGUCGGAAGGAAGGUGAUGAGCGAUAUGAUACAAUGACCGACAUACCUGAUUGCAGACGAAUUUUCCGCGUUAACUUCUAGAAUGAGUUCAAGCACAAAUUUGCAUACGGGUCGAAUAUCAACAUCAAGAGCAGACGAUGCGAACUUUCGUGUUGACCAACUGCGACAAACACAGACUCUCCAUUAAACUGCCGACUUCAAAAGAGCUAGAGUUGCAGGGGACAAAACACAGCCGGGUACUUUUAAAGGUGGCUCAAGGUGUAAACGCUGGAGGUAAAGCAUCUGACUCAUCGUCUGCGCAAUAUCCUCACGAACCCCACUCCCUCUAACACAAAGUGCAGACGUUAAACAAAUCUCACUCACAAAUAAAAGGCG